CCGUCGGUGGUGUAACUAUUCAGCACACGCUUUCGGAAAAAAUGAGACCUGGGUUCGAAUCCCGGCUGACGCG